GCACGCUUAGCUCAGUUGGUUAGAGCGUCCCGUUUACACCGGGAAGGCCAGGAGUUCGAAUCUCUUAGCGUGCA
rnacentral:tRNA from 1 species